rnacentral:piRNA from 1 species
UGGAACUUUGGUGUGCUCAAUUGUAAAAUGU